CCAGGCUUCUCCAGUGCACAGUGGCGAGGUUGGUUUCGCCACAAGGACUUAUCCUGCUAUCCGCCUGGGAGUCCUGUUGCGGCCUGCUGGGAACUGAGCGAGGGAGAAGUGGUUGAUCUUCCCGCGGUCUGAUCUUCCCAUGCUCUGCACACCUACCCCCACACCCUCCCCCCUUUGGACCAGUGGGGGAUAUCCCGGUCCCCUCGGAGCUGAUUAAGCAAACCUACUGAUACUCACCAAGACAUACAAGUUGCAGUGACCAGCUGCCUAAGAUAUGAAAAUGGCGGACGCCCUUUAUUUAGACUCACACACUGCAAGUUCUAUCCAGGGGGAUUCUCGCGACUUUGUUGUUGAAGCCUUGACUCGGCUCGACGAGAUCUUCCAACAAUUAUUGCUUCAACUCCAGCAUCGUAUCGUGGCUGAGGAGAAGCGGGCAACCGGAGGUAAAGGGUGCAUCGACCGUGAAGAAGCACGUGCAUCUAAAUGUCUGCCCACCCAGGCCGAGAGCCACAUGGGGCUUGCAAGCCCUGCAUCGGCCACAAAGACGGAAGAUCAAUCGUGAAAAGCGACUAAAUCCUCCGAC